GUUGUUUUAGAGUUGGGUUCUGGUUUGGUUUGGAGAUAGGGUCUCAUGUUCCUGAGUCUGGCCUGGAUGUAGCCAAGGACUCCGGAUCUCUCUUGCUUCCAACUCCCAGACACUGGGAUUACAGUAUACGCCACUGGCUUCAGAUUUUUGGUUUUGUUAGGCUGGCCUCAAACUUACUUUGCAGUCAAGACGACCUUUAACCUCCUGACUUUUUUAAAAGUUUAUUUACCCUUUAUUUUAUGUGCACUGGCAUUCUGCCUGCAUGUACAUCUAUGUGGGCACGUCAGAUCUUGGAGUUACAGACAGUUGUAAGCUGCCAUGUGGGUGCUGGGAUUUGAACUCCGUUCCUCUGGAAGAACAGUCAGUGCCCUUAACCCAGUCCGCACUUCUAACCUACAUCAUCACACUUCUGUGAUUUCUGGCCUAUGCUGGUGUGGUAUCUGGGGAUCAAACUCAGCUCAUUGGGAUUGUACUUUUCCCCACAGAGGCACCUCGCCUGGCCCCCACAAGUGUUUCUGGAUAAGAGGCUAGCCCUCUCUGUGAAGGGCAAGACUCCCCUCCCCUGAGUCUGCCACACUCAGAAGCCGCUGUCUCUCUCCAGGGCCUGAGAGUGGGAGGAAGGGAGCCAUAAGGGGCAGAACUGACGUCACCAGCUCACAAAGCUGCCUUGUCUCUCUGCUUCAGCAGAUCUGCUCCUCACUGAACUUCCUGCGCUAUGGUGGGGAAGCCCCUUGAAAAAAAGAAAAAAGGAGACGGAAGUGCAGAGCACUCCAAACCAGAACCUAAAUGGUAGAGCAACAAACAGCAGCCUGUGCGGGAAGAUAAUGAAAUUUACAAAGCUUCUAGGAAGGCCCAUCUCAAGUCCUUGCAGCUGAGAGAAUCUGAGCCUGCCACCUCAGAAGUGCCUAAGGAUGGUUGUGAGCAUGUGUGGAUGACUUCUUCAGGAGCCGGACAGCAGU
rnacentral:lncRNA from 1 species